AAACCCUGACCCAGCGACGCCGCGUGAGGGAUGAAGUCUUUCGGGACGUAAACCUCUGUUGUACGGGAAGAAUAAAUUGACGGUACCGUACGAGGAAGGCCCGGCAAAUACGUGCCAGCAGCCGCGGUAAUACGUAGGGGCCAAGCGUUGUCCGGAAUUACUGGGCGUAAAGAGCACGUAGGCGGAUCGUUAAGUCGACUGUGAAAGUCCUGGGCUCAACCCGGGAAUUGCAGUUGAUACUGGCGGACUAGAGUACUGGAGAGGGAAGUGGAAUUCCCGGUGUAGCGGUGAAAUGCGCAGAUAUCGGGAGGAACACCAGUGGCGAAGGCGGCUUCCUGGCCAGUAACUGACGCUGAGGUGCGAAAGCUGGGGGAGCGAACCGGAUUAGAUACCCGGGUAGUCCCAGCBGUAAACGAUGAAUGCUAGGUGUUGCAGUGCGAGCUGUGAGUGC
rnacentral:rRNA from 1 species